UCAGACUUUACAAUUGUCAUCUGCAGAAGAGUUCAUGUGAGAAGAGUUGUUGGAUAUUAUUACUGCCAUUGAACUCCAAAUGCAACCAGAGCUUCAAAUGAUGGCCCAUUUUUACCAGCGAUCCUUAGAUAGGCCUCUGAGGGACAUCUGACUGCCAUUUUCUCAAAACAGUGCCCCUUGUCAGCAGCAAGUGGUCAAGAUCAGUCUUCCUCCUUUUCCUUAUCUUUAUUCUAAUGGUAAUUAAAUGUACUUCUUUAGAGGAGGGAAUGAUAGAGGCAGGAGAUAGCCAAAUGCCUAAACAAAUAGGGAAGGGUCCCCGGAGAACCUCCAACCCACUGAUGUCAUUGUGCACAGGGGGCUUGCCUAAACAUGCCCACAGUGAAAAAUUCCAUCCCUUAACACAUGUGCAGUAAGGGAAAUCAGUCAAUGUGCAGUGGCUCAGACUAAUGGCCCGCAUGCCCACUGGAAGAAUGAGGUGGAGCCACCAUCGUUCCUUAGGCAGGGGAGGAGGCUGGCCUCUUCAGCUUGCAUGUAGUGGCCUGGUAUUCAAUUUGUGAGGUGAAAACUUACAUGCAGGACCCCUCUCUUUGUUGGGAGCUUUCCUUUUGCUUAAUAAAAUUUGUCCUCCUUAC
rnacentral:lncRNA from 10 species